rfam:Pyrococcus furiosus DSM 3638, complete genome.
GCCGACAGCGAGGGUACAAUACCCUCGCAAGGGCUCGGUCAACCCGCCCCCGCAAGGUUUCGGGUUCGAUGAGCGGGGUGUGCUCACGCCGAGCCUACAGGGCCGGUGCAUCCGCCCGCGGGAUCAAUGACCGCUGGGUCUCUGUUGCCGGCCCACAAAAGUAUUUUA